rnacentral:rRNA from 1 species
GAUGAACGCUGGCGGCGUGCCUAAUACAUGCAAGUCGAGCGAACAGACGAGGAGCUUGCUCCGCUGACGUUACCGGCGGACGGGUGAGUAACACGUGGAUAACCUACCUAUAAGACUGGGAUAACUUCGGGAAACCGGAGCUACUACCGGAUAAUAUAUUGAACCGCAUGGUUCAAUAGUGAAAGACGGUUUUGCUGUCACUUAUAGAUGGAUCCGCGCCGCAUUAGCUAGUUGGUAAGGUAACGGCUUAACAAGGCAACGAUGCGUAGCCGACCUGAGAGGGGGAUCGCCCACACGGGAACGGAGACAGCGACAAUACUCCUACGGGACGCAGCAGUCUCGAACCUGCCGCAAUGGUCGAAAGCAUGACGGAGCAACCGCGCGUGAGUGAUGAAGGUCUUCGGAGCGUAAAACUCUGUUAUUAGUUAAGAACAAAUGUGUAAGGAACUAUGCACGUCUUGACGGUACCUAAUCAGAAAGCCACGGCUAACUACGUG